UCUCCCUCUUCCUCCAUAACUCACACUUCUUUCUCCUUCUUAACGUUUUUAGUAGUUCUUUUGUUAGUUUUUCUUGUAUACACGCAUACGCAUUUUAUUGUUUUUUCUUCUGUUUCAACCUCAAACAAUGAUAUGAAAUAUGUCAUUGAUGAAAUUCCCCAACAUCCUUCAAGAUUUGACAACUCGUGCAAUGCCAAGUUUUUAGAAGAGUUUGAAGAAAUUCUGUCAAAAAAUGUAAUUGAGAUGUUUAAUGAGACAUGCCUUGACAAAUCGUUGAAAAAAAAUUGCAGCAAUAAAAAACAGAGAAAAAAAAGGAGAAGAUUUAUUCUGCAAAUAAAAUGGGGAAAGAAUAUUUUUAAAAUAUACAUAAUAACUAAUUAUGUUUA